GUUGCUUCUUUUGAUAAUGGGGUAGCUGAUUUUGACUGUUUGGUUACUCUUAAUGGGAAGCAUAGAUUGACGAGGCCAGUUUUAAACAGCAUAAUGCCUUGUGCUUUUAUAUGUUGCAUUGUGUUACCUGUCUGCUGGUACAUUU
rnacentral:snoRNA from 1 species